AACAACAACAACAACAACAAAAGGAAAACAUAAGGCCCUAUUUCCCUAGCUUUUGGGUUUGAUUCUUGUUGAGAUUUUUGGGGUAAAACUGAUUAGGUCUUCGGUGGGUCGACGGAGGGUCGUGUCAUAAUUGGAGACUUCAAUGGGUUCUUCAAUGUAGAGUUGGGGUCGUGAGUCCAAUGCAGCCAGGCAUAUCGGUUCAUUUCAGAGUCUUCAUGUUAUAUGGACGGUGUUUGUUUCAAGCCGUGUGACUAGUCACAACGUUCUAGAAGAUGUCCAUGAAGACUCCAUGCAUUUUCCAAGUCAGAUCAAUCAGUUCCUGUGCAACCAUCCGGACAGGCCUUUGAAGGAGUUCGAACGCCCCUCAAUGUCUAGAAGCUUCAGCUUUGAAGACGUCCGGACGUCAAAUCAACACCGUCUAAACCCUAGGUUAAGGUUCUUCGACUUCUACACGGAGUUGGAUUUUAGCCGACACUAUUUGGGAAGUUUCUACAAGACGUCCGGACGACGUAGCAACCCGUCCGGACGCUACCUAGCGUUCUAGAAUAUUCUGGGUUUCCUUUACGGAUGGGGAAAUGAGUGACAGUGAAGACCGUCCGGACGCUCGGCCAAGCCGUCCGAACGUGGUCCUAUUAUGGGAAGAAUUGCGUUAUUCUGGAAAGGCAGUCGCAGAAGACCGUCCGGACGAGGCUAACUUCCGUCUGAACCCUCCACAGCCAGAGUCUGAUUUUGAGCAGAAUUAGGUUUUUUGUAAGCCUAUAUAGAGAGGGCUCUAAGCUUGUUAUUUGUAAGAAUUUAGUAUAAAAUUCUAUAGUGUUUAGAGAGAAUUGAAGAUCUGCUAGCUCUCUAGCCCCUGCCGGUGUGUGCUACCUUGUUCGUGUGAAGUCUAUCGUAGGGGCCGACCCUAAGGUAAAUGAUUCCAUCAAAGACCCCCUCAAGUAGGAGACUUGGUUGGGAAGUGUUCACAAUGUGUUACGUGUUAUGGUUAAAGGUAUGACUACCAGGGACGGAGCCAGGGAAUAUUUUGAGCAGGGGCCAAAGCAUUUUGUGC